ACCGGCGCACGGGUGCGUAACGCGUAUGCAAUCUACCUUUUACAGAGGGAUAGCCCAGAGAAAUUUGGAUUAAUACCUCAUAGUAUARCAGUUUGGCAUGAAACCACUAUUAAAGUCACAACGGUAAAAGAUGAGCAUGCGUCCCAUUAGCUAGUUGGUAAGGUAACGGCUUACCAAGGCUACGAUGGGUAGGGGUCCUGAGAGGGAGAUCCCCCACACUGGUACUGAGACACGGACCAGACUCCUACGGGAGGCAGCAGUGAGGAAUAUUGGACAAUGGGCGCAAGCCUGAUCCAGCCAUGCCGCGUGCAGGAUGACGGUCCUAUGGAUUGUAAACUGCUUUUGUACGAGAAGAAACACUCCUAUGUAUAGGAGCUUGACGGUAUCGUAAGAAUAAGGAUCGGCUAACUCCGUGCCAGCAGCCGCGGUAAUACGGAGGAUCCAAGCGUUAUCCGGAAUCAUUGGGUUUAAAGGGUCCGUAGGCGGUUUAAUAAGUCAGUGGUGAAAGCCCAUCGCUCAACGGUGGAACGGCCAUUGAUACUGUUAAACUUGAAUUAUUAGGAAGUAACUAGAAUAUGUAGUGUAGCGGUGAAAUGCUUAGAGAUUACAUGGAAUACCAAUUGCGAAGGCAGGUUACUACUAAUUGAUUGACGCUGAUGGACGAAAGCGUGGGUAGCGAACAGGAUUAGAUACCCUGGUAGUCCACGCCGUAAACGAUGGAUACUAGCUGUUGGGAGCAAUCUCAGUGGCUAAGCGAAAGUGAUAAGUAUCCCACCUGGGGAGUACGUUCGCAAGAAUGAAACUCAAAGGAAUUGACGGGGGCCCGCACAAGCGGUGGAGCAUGUGGUUUAAUUCGAUGAUACGCGAGGAACCUUACCAAGGCUUAAAUGUAGAUUGACCGGUUUGGAAACAGAUCUUUCGCAAGACAAUUUACAAGGUGCUGCAUGGUUGUCGUCAGCUCGUGCCGUGAGGUGUCAGGUUAAGUCCUAUAACGAGCGCAACCCCUGUUGUUAGUUGCCAGCGAGUCAUGUCGGGAACUCUAACAAGACUGCCAGUGCAAACUGUGAGGAAGGUGGGGAUGACGUCAAAUCAUCACGGCCCUUACGCCUUGGGCUACACACGUGCUACAAUGGCCGGUACAGAGAGCAGCCACUGGGCGACCAGGAGCGAAUCUAUAAAACCGGUCACAGUUCGGAUCGGAGUCUG
rnacentral:rRNA from 1 species